rnacentral:rRNA from 1 species
GAUGAACGCUGGCGGCGUGCCUAAUACAUGCAAGUCGAACGGCAGCACGGGUGCUUGCACCUGGUGGCGAGUGGCGAACGGGUGAGUAAUAUAUCGGAACGUACCUUAUUGUGGGGGAUAACGCAGCGAAAGCUGUGCUAAUACCGCAUACUCCCUACGGGGGAAAGCGGGGGACCGUAAGGCCUCGCGCAAUUAGAGCGGCCGAUACCUGAUUAGCUAGUUGGUGAGGUAAAGGCUCACCGAGGCAACGAUCAGUAGCUGGUCUGAGAGGACGAUCAGCCACACUGGGACUGAGACACGGCCCAGACUCCUACGGGAGGCAGCAGUGGGGAAUUUUGGACAAUGGGGGCAACCCUGAUCCAGCAAUGCCGCGUGAGUGAAGAAGGCCUUCGGGUUGUAAAGCUCUUUUGUCAGGGAAGAAACAGCAGCUCUAACACAGUUUGCGAAUGACGGUACCUGAAGAAUAAGCACCGGCUAACUACGUGCCAGCAGCCGCAGUAA